CUACGGGAUGCAGCAGUGGGGAAUAUUGGACAAUGGGGGAAACCCUGAUCCAGCAAUGCCGCGUGUGUGAAGAAGGCCUGCGGGUUGUAAAGCACUUUCGGUUGGGAGGACUGCUUCUAGCACUAAUAUUGUUGGAAGUUGACGUUACCUUCAGAAGAAGCACCGGCUAACUCCGUGCCAGCAGCCGCGGUAAUGACGGAGGGUGCAAGGUUAAUCGGAAUUACUGGGCGUAAAGCGCGCGUAGGCGGCUAGAUCAGUCGGGUGUGAAAGCCCCGGGCUUAACCUGGGAACUGCAUCCGAUACUGUCUAGCUUGAGUACAGGAGAGGAGAGUGGAAUUCCACAUGUAGCGGUGAGAUGCGUAGAUAUGUGGAGGAACACCAAUGGCGAAGGCAGCUCUCUGGCCUGAUACUGACGCUGAGGUGCGAAAGCGUGGGGAGCAAACAGGAUUAGAUACCCUCGUAGUC
rnacentral:rRNA from 1 species